rnacentral:pre_miRNA from 1 species
GAUUUUUUGGCACAUUCUACUCAAUAAUUUUUAAAGCUUAAAAAUUAUUGAGUAGAAUGUGCCAAAAAAU